rnacentral:rRNA from 1 species
UACGAGGGGGGCGAGCGUUGUUCGGAAUUAUUGGGCGUAAAGGGUGCGUAGGCGGUUUGGUAAGUCUUGUGUGAAAUCUUCGGGCUCAACUCGAAGUCUGCACGAGAAACUGCCGGGCUUGAGUAUGGGAGAGGUGAGUGGAAUUCCCGGUGUAGCGGUGAAAUGCGUAGAGAUCAUGAGGAAGACCAGUGGCGAAGGCGGGUCUCUGGACAGUUCCUGACACUGAGGCACGAAGGCCAGGGGAGCAAACGGG